GCCUUUAGUCUUUACUCUUUAGUACCAGUUUAUACUCCUUGCUAGCUUGCUAGUAGCUAUUAAUGCAAAUUGAAGGUUAUGUUAUCGAUAUUUUAAAUUCCAACGAUAAUGAUGCCUAACGCCACUGAUAAUAAUUGGGACCCUUGCCACUUUAUGUACACAAGAUGCAGUCGCUCAAAAAGAUUAUUAUCCAGAUUAACCAGACAUUCCUCCGGAUGGAGGUGAGGAUGAUGAAACUGUCAAAAUUGUACAAUUAGUGAAAAUUUAUGAACCCUUGGGUGCCACUAUUAAAAUGGAGGAGGAGACUAGUAAAAUAGUAAUAGCUCGCGUCAUGCACGGCGGGGCGGCUUAUCGAUCCAACCUGAUUCAUGCUGGUGAUGAGGUCGUUGAUGUGAACGAUAUGAGUGUCGACAAUAAAACGCCCGCUGAUGUACUCGAUAUUUUACAAAAUUCUGAGGGAAUACAAAC